rnacentral:rRNA from 1 species
GACGAACGCUGGCGGCGUGCUUAACACAUGCAAGUCGAACGGAAAGGCCCUGCUUUUGUGGGGUGCUCGAGUGGCGAACGGGUGAGUAACACGUGAGUAACCUGCCCUUGACUUUGGGAUAACUUCAGGAAACUGGGGCUAAUACCGGAUAGGAGCUCCUGCUGCAUGGUGGGGGUUGGAAAGUUUCGGCGGUUGGGGAUGGACUCGCGGCUUAUCAGCUUGUUGGUGGGGUAGUGGCUUACCAAGGCUUUGACGGGUAGCCGGCCUGAGAGGGUGACCGGCGACAUUGGGACUGAGAGACGGCCCAGACUCCUACGGGAGGCAGCAGUGGGGAAUAUUGCACAAUGGGCGGAAGCCUGAUGCAGCGACGCCGCGUGCGGGAUGACGGCCUUCGGGUUGUAAACCGCUUUCGCCUGUGACGAAGCGUGAGUGACGGUAAUGGGUAAAGAAGCACCGGCUAACUACGUG